rnacentral:rRNA from 1 species
AUUGAACGCUGGCGGCAGGCCUAACACAUGCAAGUCGAGCGGUAGAGAGAAGCUUGCUUCUCUUGAGAGCGGCGGACGGGUGAGUAAUGCCUAGGAAUCUGCCUGGUAGUGGGGGAUAACGUUCGGAAACGGACGCUAAUACCGCAUACGUCCUACGGGAGAAAGCAGGGGACCUUCGGGCCUUGCGCUAUCAGAUGAGCCUAGGUCGGAUUAGCUAGUUGGUGGGGUAAUGGCUCACCAAGGCGACGAUCCGUAACUGGUCUGAGAGGAUGAUCAGUCACACUGGAACUGAGACACGGUCCAGACCCCUACGGGAGGCAGCAGUGGGGAAUAUUGGACAAUGGGCGAAAGCCUGAUCCAGCCAUGCCGCGUGUGUGAAGAAGGUCUUCGGAUUGUAAAGCACUUUAAGUUGGGAGGAAGGGCAGUAAAUUAAUACUUUGCUGUUUUGACGUUACCGACAGAAUAAGCACCGGCUAACUCUGUGCCAGCAGCCGCGGUAAAAC